GUGCUCAUUUCAGCAGCACAUACACUAAAAUUGAAAUAAUACAGAGAUUAGCAUGACCCCUGCUCAAGGAUGCCAUGCAUAUUUGGGAAGUGUUUCAUAUUUAU
ensembl:snRNA U6 U6 spliceosomal RNA